AACGCGAAGAACCUUACCAAGUCUUGACAUCUCCCUGACCGGAACUUAACCGUUCCUUUCCUUCGGGACAGGGGAGACAGGUGGUGCAUGGUUGUCGUCAGCUCGUGUCGUGAGAUGUUGGGUUAAGUCCCGCAACGAGCGCAACCCUUAUCCUUAGUAGCCAGCAAGUAGUGUUGGGCACUCUAGGGAGACUGCCAGGGAUAACCUGGAGGAAGGUGGGGAUGACGUCAAAUCAUCAUGCCCCUUAUGAUUUGGGCUACACACGUGCUACAAUGGCGUAAACAAAGAGAAGCAAGACCGCGAGGUGGAGCAAAUCUCAAAAAUAACGUCUCAGUUCGGAUUGCAGGCUGCAACUCGCCUGCAUGAAGCUGGAAUCGCUAGUAAUCGCGAAUCAGAAUGUCGCGGUAAAUACGUUCCCGGGUCUUGUACACACCG
rnacentral:rRNA from 1 species